UGAACGCUGGCGGCGUGCUUAACACAUGCAAGUCGAACGGGAAUGCCACGCUGAUGCGAUUUCGGUCAAAUCAUGUGGCAUUCGAGUGGCGGACGGGUGAGUAACGCGUGGGUAACCUGCCUUACACAGGGGGAUAACACCUGGAAACAGGUGCUAAUACCGCAUAAGCGCACAGGGCCGCAUGGCCCGGUGUGAAAAACUCCGGUGGUGUAAGAUGGACCCGCGUCUGAUUAGCUUGUUGGCGGGGUAGGGGCCCACCAAGGCGACGAUCAGUAGCCGGCCUGAGAGGGUGGACGGCCACAUUGGGACUGAGACACGGCCCAAACUCCUACGGGAGGCAGCAGUGGGGGAUAUUGGACAAUGGGGGAAACCCUGAUCCAGCGACGCCGCGUGAGUGAAGAAGUAUUUCGGUAUGUAAAGCUCUGUCAGCAGGGAAGAAAGAAAUGACGGUACCUGACCAAGAAGCCCCGGCUAACUACGUGCCAGCAGCCGCGGUAAUACGUAGGGG
rnacentral:rRNA from 1 species